rnacentral:rRNA from 1 species
CCUUUGACGUUAGCGGCGGACGGGUGAGUAACACGUGGGUAACCUACCUAUAAGACUGGGAUAACUUCGGGAAACCGGAGCUAAUACCGGAUAAUAUUUCGAACCGCAUGGUUCGAUAGUGAAAGAUGGUUUUGCUAUCACUUAUAGAUGGACCCGCGCCGUAUUAGCUAGUUGGUAAGGUAACGGCUUACCAAGGCGACGAUACGUAGCCGACCUGAGAGGGUGAUCGGCCACACUGGAACUGAGACACGGUCCAGGCUCCUACGGGAGGCAGCAGGG